AAAGCAUCCCACCUUCUAAACCCUUAGUGCUUACAGCAAGAGGAAAGAUGCAUCCAAAUGUCAAAACUGCAGGAGAAACAACAAUUAUUUCUAAGAGAGAGAAAACAAGACUGAGGAAGAUCACCCUAGCUCAGAAAAUUUACAUUACAAGAGAGCUUUGGAACCACAGGAGGUUCAUUACAAAGUGGAGAUGUCUGGGGAAGUGCUGACGCUUGAGUGUUGACUUUGGUAGAAUCUCCAUCUUUUCUCCCUCCUUGUUUUUGGUUCUCUCCCUCGCACGUUGCACCCUGCACUCCUAAAGCUCAGGUAAAAUCAGCACAAAAGCUGUCUGUGUGAAGUGUUGAGGGGCAAUAACCCCAUUAGGGACUUCCCACAGUGCCAGCCUGCAUUACUGCCAAGGCUCAUCUGACCCAUUCUCCCUCCAUGAUGUAUCUGUCUUACAGUCUUCUCACAAAUCUCUGAUGGUUGAAAAAUCUGGCAACAUCUGAAAAACAUUUUUAGAACCCAUCAACACUAAGGCAGAAAAAGAAAUAGAAAAUUCACUAGAAAACAGAUGAACUAUCAGAUUAAAAUAUAUAUAUAUAUAUAUAUAUCCUAAUAUAUGUUUUAGACUUUGGAGAUUUGGAAGAAAAAAAUCUCUCUCUUUUUUUUAACCUGAUUUUUUUCCCAAUAAAAAAUUGUAGCAAAUUCU
rnacentral:lncRNA from 1 species